rnacentral:rRNA from 1 species
CCAAAGCUGGCGACCGGCGCACGGGUGAGUAACACGUAUCCAACCUGCCUCAUACUCGGGGAUAGCCUUUCGAAAGAAAGAUUAAUAUCCGAUAGCAUAUAUUUCCCGCAUGGGUUUUAUAUUAAAGAAAUUCGGUAUGAGAUGGGGAUGCGUUCCAUUAGUUUGUUGGGGGGGUAACGGCCCACCAAGACUACGAUGGAUAGGGGUUCUGAGAGGAAGGUCCCCCACAUUGGAACUGAGACACGGUCCAAACUCCUACGGGAGGCAGCAUG